rnacentral:rRNA from 1 species
GGCGAACGGGUGAGUAACACGUAUUUAAUCUACCUAUAAGUGGGGGAUAACAGUUAGAAAUAAUUGCUAAUACCGCAUAAGAUAUAGAAUGGCAUCAUUUUAUAUUUAAAGGUGCGUUUGCACCGCUAAUAGAUGAGAAUGCGGCGUAUUAGUUUGUUGGUGGGGUAAUGGCCUACCAAGACAAUGAUACGUAGCCGACCUGAGAGGGUGACCGGCCACAUCGGGACUGAGACACGGCCCGG